rnacentral:rRNA from 1 species
UGGGGAAUAUUGCACAAUGGGCGCAAGCCUGAUGCAGCCAUGCCGCGUGUAUGAAGAAGGCCUUCGGGUUGUAAAGUACUUUCAGCGGGGAGGAAAGGAGUAAAGUUAAUACCUUUGCUCAUUGACGUUACCCGCAGAAGAAGCACCGGCUAACUCCGUGCCAGCAGCCGCGGUAAUACGGAGGGUGCAAGCGUUAAUCGGAAUUACUGGGCGUAAAGCGCACGCAGGCGGUUUGUUAAGUCAGAUGUGAAAUCCCCGGGCUCAACCUGGGAACUGCAUCUGAUACUGGCAAGCUUGAGUCUCGUAGAGGGGGGUAGAAUUCCAGGUGUAGCGGUGAAAUGCGUAGAGAUCUGGAGGAAUACCGGUGGCGAAGGCGGCCCCCUGGACGAAGACUGACGCUCAGGUGCGAAAGCGUGGGGAGCAAACA